rnacentral:lncRNA from 1 species
UAACACAUACACGUACAAAUACAGCACACCACAAUCAAAUCACUCUCUGUGAAAAAACAUUACUCUACAUCUCUUCCUCCCUUCUUCUCCAAUGAGCAAAACCAGUUAGUUCCAGCCACCACUUCACCACCCCCGUUCAUAUAAUCAAAAACCCAAACAACAACCACAAACCGACUUCCUCUUUACUGUUCUAUCAUGCCCCAAUGAUAUUUGACCAGAAAAACACGGCGAUGCCGCAACAAAUAGCAACAAAAGUUCCAAACAACAACAAAUCAGGGAGAUUCGGUAAAUUCCACUAUUGACGAACUCACCGAAGCUCCGAACUCCGGUGAACAAUAGUAACUCUGGUGAAUAGCUUCGUCAAAAACCCCUCCCCAUCGUCCAGUCCCCUUCUCGAGCUCCGGCGAGGAGCUCCAUGAUCCGAUGAACUGGAGCAGCUCCCGUUUUCCUUUCUCCCAUCACAUCAUUUUUAUUGUUUUGUUUAGUUUUGAAUUUUUCAGUUUGUCCGGUGAAGUCCAACUACUCCGGUAUCAAUCCCGAAAUGUUCAAAUCUGAUUGGAGGAGGUCUAUUUCUGGCGAACUUCAUCUUCUCUGCUCCUUGUUGUUUUCUGUUUUGGUUUUCUAACCUGGUUAUAUCCUGUUUAGGUUGAUUUAAUUUUGUCUUUGUUGUCGUGUUGUUUUCAUUUUUUUCUAGAUAUCACUCUGUGUGUGUUUAUAUUUCAUUUUUACUAAUAGUGCUUUUUUAAUCUUUUAUGUUGUUAGUUUUGGUUAAAAUUAAAUUUAUACAUUUUACAAUUGUCAUUAAUUUUAUUGGUCCAUGAUUAUUUUUGUGGUAUUUGUUACUAUUUCUUUAAUUUUAAAAGUAAUAUUAUAACAUGGAUUCAAAUGUGCUACUUUGAGAAAAAAAUUAUUUUGAAUGAGACUCAAACAAUAAUAUUUGUACGAGGCUCCACUAAAUUCUUGAUACUUGAAUUGUGGGACCCAUCUGUAUAAAUGAACAAGUAAAAUGUAAGUGUACGGUAGGAAAGAAAUAGAGCGAUGAGAAGUGAUUUUUUCCUCCUUAAAAGUUACUUUAUUGAUCAUAUACAAUAUUGCUGAUCACUUCUUUUCUCAAAGGAACACCAAAUCUAUUACAACAUUGUUGAUGGUUUUCUUUCUCAAAAAGAUCAAAUCUAUUACAACAUUAUUGAUCACCCUUUUUCUCAAAGAUACAUCAAAUUUAUUAUCACCCAUCAAAAAAUUCUUCUCUAGAUGUAAUAAAUUCAUCACUUUUUUUUUUUUUUUUUUAGAACAACUACUCUAAAUAUAAUAAAUAUCAAAUAUGUACUCUAAAUGUAGAGAAUAUAUCAACUUAUUUUAGAAUAUACCAACUUAUUUUUACUCUUACUUAUUAUUGUUGUUUGAAUCUACUUACUUAUUAGUGGACUUUAUUUUGAUAUUGCUACCAAAAUAUUUUAUUUUGAUACAUAUAUAUCACCAAGAUUAUAUUUUAUAUAUGACUUAUUAAUAAAAUGUCCCUUAUACAAAGCACUUUCGUAUAUCAAUUGUUGCUGCAACAUGUGAUCUUCAUGACUUAUUGAAAAAUUCUGUCAAACAUAAAAAUAUUUUUACUAGAAAAUAAAAAUAGAAUUCAGAUCUGGUAUUGUUUUUACUCUGAAUAACAGUCCCAACAAAUUUAAUAAUAGUUAUACAUAUUUCAAAUUAUAAUAUAAGCUUUAUAGUAUCACAAGGAAAAACAUAUAAGCAUUUCUACACUAAAAUAGCUUUGACAUUUUUUAACACUUUUAUUUUGUUUGUACAGAUUAAUUGUGUUUCAAAUCAGAAAUGAAAAAUGUAAAUGUUGAAAAAGGUUCUUCUUAAUAAGAAGGUAAUGUCUCACUUCUAUAAAAUAUUCUUAUAGUUUAUUAUUAUUUGUGUUUUCAUGCUUCUAAUGUAAACACUGCAACCUUAAAUCAUAAUAUAAAUGAUCAAGAACAUUUUUAAGGAGCUCAUAAUGUUUAUACCAUCGAUAAAAAUUUUAUUUUCUAGAUUGAUAUGAAAUUUAAUUCAGAAGAGGGAUCAUACAAUGCAUACAAUUCAUAUGUCGUGGCAAAAGGUUUUGGUGUUCGAAAAGGUGCGAAGACUAAAAAUAGAAACAACUAGAUAACGAGAUGCUUAUUUUUAUGUUCUUGUGAAGGACAAUUUGAUAAGCUUUCUCCUUUUCAAUAAAGGAAGCAAAAAAUAUUAGAAUAUAAAUGUGGAUGCUUGGCUCGUAUAAACUUCAAACUAUCAAAUGACAUAUGGGAAGUAUGUGAAUUUAAUGAUGUGCAUAGUCAUCUAAUGAUAGAAGAUAAUUUAAGAUAUUUCAUAAAAUCUGAUCGAAAGCUUACAAGUGCUACCAAAAAUAUUCUUGGUUCUAUGGUCGAUGUUGGUAUUCACACAAAAAAAGCUAUUCGAUAUCUUCAAAAUGAAGCAGAUGGAAUUGAAAAUAUAGGAUUUAUUGAGCAAGAUGCUUAUAAAUUCAUACAAGCACAUAAGAGAAACAUGAUUAAUGGUGAAAAUGCUCAAACUUUGAUAAAUUAUUUUAUGCAUUUGCAAUCGAAGGACUCAGAUUUCUUUUAUUCUUUUCAAAUUGAUGAAGAAGGUGGAUUGUGAAACUUUUUCUUUGGAGAGAUAACAUAUCUAGAUUGCACUAUGAGUAUUUCGGAGAUGUGAUGAUUUUUGACACCACAUAUCACACAAAUUAAUAUAACAUGAUUUGUGCUUCAUUUUUUUGGUGUAAAUAAUCAUUGGAAAAAUAUUUUCUUUGGAUGUGCAUUCUUGUGUGAUGAAACAUUAGGCGCUUUUAUUUGGCUAUUUCAAACAUUCCUAAAGGGAAUGGGAGGAAAAGCACCAACAAUAAUUUUUACCGAUUAAGUUCCUGCUAUAGCGGCUGUCAUUAGAGAAGUUUAUCCUGAAACAUGUCAUCGGUUAUGUGAAUGACACAUUGACAGAAAUGCUCAUAAGAACAUACCCCACCUUUACUGAAAAUAAGAAUUUCGAAACUACUUCGAUACUUUCUUAUGAAGAUGCAAGUCUAAAUCAAAAUUUGAAGUGAUAUGGCAGAAUAUGAUAUCUGGAUAGGAUUGUGCAAAUAAUACUUUUCUUAAAAAGCUAUAUGAUCUGAGAAAGAAAUAAUGUUCUGCAUUUAGUCGUUUCAUUUUUUCAGCGGAAAUUAAAUCAACUCAAAGAAAUGAAAGCAUAAACAGAGUUUUCACAUAAAUGGCAUGCAAGACAAUGAGUGUAACUGAAUUUGUAAAGCAAUAUGAGCAGCGAAUAAAUGAAAUGCAUGGCAGCGAGGCAAUUAAGAAUUACAAAUGCUGAGGAAAGCCUAAAAUUUUCAUAGUAGACUGUGGGAUCUUGAAGCAUGCUGGUAGUGUGUAUACAAGAAGAAUUUUUACAAGGUUUCAACAUGACUUUCUAUAAGGAACAACCAAGAAAGUAAUCAAUCUAAAAAGUAAUGGGACUUGUACUAUAUAUACAGUCUUAAAGGGUGAAAGUGAGCAAAUUGAAACUGUCCAGUUCAAUUCUCUUGAUAAUUUUAUAUUCUGUAGUUGUCAAAUGUUUGAAGCCAUGGGUUGAUUGUGUUGUCAUGUAUUUAAAAUUUUAUUCUUUGACAUAAACUUUUCUUGUAUACUUGAGAAAUAUAUUUUGGAAAGGUGGACUAAGAAUUCUAAGCAUGGCGGUGGAUUUAAGAAGUUCACAAAAAUAAAAGGAGACAAUGAAAUUCUCCUUGGCAAAUCGCUUAAAUGAAUUAAUGAAGGAAUUUUUUACUGUUAUGAAUUUAGUGGCAAAUGACUUGGACUUCAAAAAAAUUGUUUGAAAGUAUUUGUAUCAGGCAAAGAUUGAGAUUAUUAAGUAUCAAAGUGAAUUUUACGCUGAAAAUUAUGAGAAGGAUAAGAACAAGCUCGGUGGAACUGAUUCUAUUACAGGGUGUAAUGAUCAAGUUUUGAAUCCAAUUAAGAAAAAAGACGAGAAAUGGAUAUGGAAGAAUGAAGUCAAAAGGUGAGCAAAGAAAAAAAAAGCAUCACAAAAGACAAUUAAAAUCAGAGUAGCAACAUCAGUCUUUGAAUGCUAUAGGACUGAGCUUUGAAGCGCAAUCAACCUCAAUGCAAGGCUUCACUAAACUAAACUUUAAGGUUAUUUUCCUUCAUCAAAUUAAACAUUUUUAAUCAUUGUCUUGCUACUUUAUUUAUCUACAAAUUUUGAUUCUUUUUUUCUAUUAAAAUUGAUUUACUAAGCUUGAUUUUUUCCUUUUUAUAUUCAAACCUACAGGUACAUAAAGAUUCAUACAAUAAUUUCAGCCAACUAUUAACACAAAACUUAAAUCUAAAAUCUGAAGUGUGCUUUCAAAGUCAAGAUUCAAACAAUGCAUUAGAAAAUAUUAGUAUCAAUGAAAAGGGAAUAUAGUAAAUCUUUGGAACACACUUUGUAAUAGAUUUUAUCUUUUUUAACAUCAUAAAUAUUUAUAUGAUAAGUAUUUUGCUAUUUUGGCAUUAGAAAUGACAUGCAAACAAAAAUUUGUAGAGAUCUAAAUUCUGUUACUCAUUUUAUAUAAUCUUAUAUAUAUAAUUAGUCAUGAAGAUGAAACAAGAUUCGUACCUGAAAAAUAUUGAUAAAGAAAAAUUGUAGAUGAAGAUGCAGUAAUAGAGCAAGAUUUGAGUAAAGAACCAAAAUUUGAGAACAAUGCUUUAAUUUUUUUAUCUUCAACACAUAUCAAUCAUUUUUUUGCAUUAGCGGCAUCCCAAAUCACUAAUCAAUAUUUUAAUAUUAGUAUUUAAUGAAAUUGCAAAUUUCAUAUCAAUAGAUGAACACGUAAUUUUGAAUUUUAAUAGAAGUUCUUAGAUAAGAAAAAUGAAAGUUUUUUUUUUUUUGUUUAGAAGAAAGUUUUUUGAUGAAGAAGAAAUAGAGAUGUCAAGAACACUCCAUGUUGGUUGGAAAUUACAAAGACAAUUAAUACGCGUUAAGUCUUCUACUUUCAAUAACUUUAGUGUUUUUUGACUCAUUUUUCUGUGGACUCCACAGUCCACUUUCAAUUUUUUGUUGAAAUGUUAGUCUCUCUUCCUUCUUGAUUUUAUUUUGCAACUUUAGAUUAAUAAAAUGGUUCCACAAUCCACGUAUCAAGAAGUUAGUGGAGCCUCAUACAAGUAUUGUUGAUUAAGUCUCAUUCAUCAUAAAUUUUUUACUGUAACCUUGGUUGAUUUCUUUAUUUAGUGACAUAACUAACAAAGAACGAGUAUUAAUAUUUGGCAGAUGAAGAAAUUCUCCAUCAAUUUUUGAGGACUUCAUAAAUAAAAAUACAAAUUUUAUGUAUACAAAUAUGUAAUACAAUAAAUAAAUUUGGGCGAUGACGAAAUUCUUAUAAUAUUUAAAACUUUAUCUGAGUUCGCACUUUUAACAAAAGUUCUAUUUUACAUGCAUAUAUGCGCAUAUAUUUCUUAAUUUAUUUUGAUUUGUUACUAACAUUUUUAUCUCAAGUGCUUGUACAGAUUUUUGGGAGCACUUGUCAAAAUUGGCACUCAAGAAGAGAGUUUGAAUUUUAUAUUUGUAUUUUAUACUUUUAUACUUGGAUAAAAUAUUAAUUUUAUUGAAAACUUUAUUUUUUGAGGGUGUUGGGUGAGAUGUUCUUUAUUUAUGUAAUCUUC